UUUCUCCGCCGGCGACCGGCGCACGGGUGAGUAACACGUAUGCAACCUGCCCCUGUCAGGGGGACAACCCGCCGAAAGGCGGGCUAAACCCGCGUACAUGCCUCCGGGGCAUCCCGGAGGCAGGAAAGGCUUCGGCCGGACAGGGAUGGGCAUGCGGCGCAUUAGGCAGUAGGCGGGGUAACGGCCCACCUAACCGACGAUGCGUAGGGGUUCUGAGAGGAAGGUCCCCCACACUGGUACUGAGACACGGACCAGACUCCUACGGGAGGCAGCAG
rnacentral:rRNA from 1 species